UCGAGCGAGAACCAGUCCUUCGGGACUGGGGACAGCGGCGAACGGGUGAGUAACACGUGGGUAAUCUGCCCUCGAUUCUGGGAUAGCCCGGGGAAACCCGGAUUAAUACCGGAUAGCCUCUCGAGCUUACGGGCUCGUGAGAAAAGGUAGCUUCGGCCUCCGAUCGAGGAUGAGCCCGCGGCGGAUUAGCUUGUUGGUGGGGUAAUGGCCUACCAAGGCGACGAUCCGUAGCUGGUCUGAGAGGACGAUCAGCCACACUGGGACUGAGACACGGCCCAGACUCCUACGGGAGGCAGCAGUGGGGAAUCUUGCGCAAUGGGCGAAAGCCUGACGCAGCGACGCCGCGUGGGGGAAGAAGGCCUUCGGGUUGUAAACCUCUUUCAGCAGGGACGAAGCCACUCGGGUUAAUAGCCCAGAGGGUGACGGUACCUGCAGAAGAAGCCCCGGCUAACUACGUGCCAGCAGCCGCGGUAAUACGUAGGGGGCAAGCGUUGUCCGGAUUUAUUGGGCGUAAAGAGCGUGUAGGCGGCCGCA
rnacentral:rRNA from 1 species